rnacentral:rRNA from 1 species
AUUGAACGCUGGCGGCAUGCCUUACACAUGCAAGUCGAACGGCAGCACGGGAGCAAUCCUGGUGCGAGUGGCGAACGGGUGAGUAAUGUAUCGGAACGUACCUUUCAGUGGGGGAUAACGUAGCGAAAGUUACGCUAAUACCGCAUAUUCUGUGAGCAGGAAAGCAGGGGAUCGCAAGACCUUGCGCUGAUUGAGCGGCCGAUAUCAGAUUAGCUAGUUGGUGAGGUAAAGGCUCACCAAGGCGACGAUCUGUAGCGGGUCUGAGAGGAUGAUCCGCCACACUGGAACUGAGACACGGUCCAGACUCCUACGGGAGGCAGCAGUGGGGAAUUUUGGACAAUGGGCGCAAGCCUGAUCCAGCCAUGCCGCGUGAGUGAAGAAGGCCUCGG